rnacentral:piRNA from 1 species
UCAGUGUCGUCAUCCACAGUAUCACGAG